rnacentral:rRNA from 1 species
GAUUUCCACGGCUCGUCUGAAAUGCCUGAGUAUACCCCAUUUUGCGGCGUAUUCGGUGUGAUACAUCUUCACCGGAGUUGAUCCUUUCGGGUCGCGUCUGUAUGAGUGUGGCUCUAUGCUUCCAACCGUCCCUUUAUAAGGACAAUCUCUUGACAAUUUGACCUCAAAUCGGGUGGGACUACCCGCUGAACUUAAGCAUAUCAAUAAGCGGAGGAAAAGAAACUAACAAGGAUUCCCCUAGUAACGGCGAGUGAAGAGGGAAAAGCUCAAAUUUUGAAUCUGGUGUCUUUGACUCCCGAGUUGUAAUCUAGAGAAGUGUUUUCCGUGUCGGACCAUGCACAAGUUCCCUGGAACGGGGCGUCAUAGAGGGUGAGAAUCCCGUAUAUGGCAUGGACUGCCGAUGCUCUGUGAUACACUCUCAACGAGUCGAGUUGUUUGGGAAUGCAGCUCAAAAUGGGUGGUAAAUUCCAUCUAAAGCUAAAUAUUGGCGAGAGACCGAUAGCGAACAAGUACCGUGAGGGAAAGAUGAAAAGCACUUUGGAAAGAGAGUGAAACAGUACGUGAAAUUGUUGAAAGGGAAGCGUUUGAAGUCAGUCAUGUCUGGCGGGAUUCAACUUGGGCUUCUGCCCGGUGUACUUUCCGUCCGAUGGGUCAGCAUCAAUUUCGACCGAGGGAAAAAGAUGUGGGGAAUGUGGCUGUCUUCGGGCAGUGUUAUAGCCCCGCAUUGUAUGCCUCGGUUGGGAUUGAGGAACGCAGCGCGCCUAUAGGCCAGGGGCUACCCGCCUCUUGACACGCGCUUAGGAUGCUGGCAUAAUGGCUUUAAGCGACCCGUCUUGAA